GUACGGGGGGGGCAAGCGUUGUUCGGAAUUACUGGGCGUAAAGGGUUCGUAGGUGGCUGGCUAAGUCAGACGUGAAAUCCCUCAGCUUAACUGGGGAACUGCGUCUGAGACUGGUCGGCUCGAGUGCAGGAGAGGAACGCGGAAUUCCAGGUGUAGCGGUGAAAUGCGUAGAUAUCUGGAGGAACACCGGUGGCGAAGGCGGCGUUCUGGACUGCAACUGACACUGAGGAACGAAAGCCAGGGGAGCAAACGGG
rnacentral:rRNA from 1 species